rnacentral:snRNA from 1 species
GUGCUCACUUCAGCAGCACAUAUACUAAAAUUGGAAGGAUAUAGAGAAGAUUAACAUGGCCCCUGUGCAAGCAUGACACACAAAUUUGUGAAGAGUUCCAUAUCUUU